CCACGCUCAAAGGAGAGCAGGAAGUCAUCAGGCUCAGGGGUUGGGGCUUUUUUAGGGGGUAGAGCAGCCAAGAUCCCUCUCACAGCCUUGUGCGAGGGUGGCCCAAUGGCCCCGAAGUCCUCCUCUUCGCCCUUGUCCUUUGUCCACCUCGACACCGUCAACCUCAAACCCCUCCCUCUCCCCAGCUUUGUCUCCUACGCUGAACCUGCACUUCCCAAAUCUCCCUGCCCUGGCCCUGCAGACAGCUUGGGAACCAAUCUGGAGGGAGGCCUGAGGCUUCCCCAGCCGUCCCGAGCCUGCCCUGGCAUUCCACGGUACCCUCAUGCCCGCAGCGAGCGGGUGUCCCGGCCGGUGCCCGCACUCCCCGACGGCUGUGCCCCGACGGCUCCCGGCCCUCCUCGGCCGCACGGCCCCGCCGUCGGUGAGCAGCGGGAGCCGUCCCGUGCCCAGCUGUGGCAGCAGCCCCACUUGGCCGGCUGUCCUGCCGUGGUGUGAUUCCUUCUUUGUACCGUGAAAAGCAGCGUGGAGGGGCGGCUUUAAUUUUUAUCGUUAUUAAUCAUAAUGAAAUUGUCUCCUAACCCUUCCUGCGGACCCUCUGAAAAGACGGGUUGAUUUCCCUGGGAAUUACUCUCUCUUCUCAAGCCAAAAAAUUUGGGGUCCGUCCAUACAACAGGCUGUGCUUUGCCCCCCGCACCCACAAUCGGAGGGCAGUUCGGGGCUCUGCCGUCUCCUGCCUCCGCUCCUCUCCACCUGGCCGGGCUGCUCUGGGGCCUUUGGGCUCCAGCCGGUGGCGGCAGAAAAAACCAGAGCCCAAACCCAAAGGUAAACCAACCUCCCGACAAACCAACAGACAUGACAGCAGCCCACAUCGAAACAGGAUAAAAUGCAGGAGCUCUCGCCCGAACCCGAGCGUGAAACGGCGGCCGAGCCUGGCGGUGCCGCUGGCGCUGCCGGUGCCGGUGCCGGCGGGGCUCCGCAGAGGGCAAGGGCUGCCCCGCACCGCCAAGCCCCGCCGCCGGUGCCGGGGCAGCAGCCCGGGCUGCAGCCGCUCCAUUUGGCUCCGGCCAGACCUCCCCAAACCCGUAUCUGCCUUUUAAGUUUCCCCUUUGUUUUCAGAAACUCGAACACAUUUCCUGCCCGCUAUGAAGACAUAGCAGGCUCCCCCAAACCUCUCCCCAGCCACAAGUGCACGCUAAACUGUGCCUUCCCGGGCACAGCGAGUUUGUCCUCCCCGGAGAAGCGCCGAAAGAGGCUCCCCUCGAAAGAAUACAAAGGAGAUGUGCGUCCUGGCUCUUCCAGGCUUCGAUGCCCGAGCGCAGCGAGUCGCAGUCCCGCAGGGUACCCACGUGGGCUCAUCGCACACAGUGUGUGGGCUCCUCCACUGCCAGCUCAGCAGAUGCUGUGGCAUCUCAGGCCCCUUCCUUGCUGGCUCUCAAACACCCAUGGAAACCCACACCUGCUUGGAGACACGAGUGAGAUGGGAAAAAGAUGCUCCAUGACACAAAAGGUGCAUUCCAAGAAGCUGUGCUGUCACCUGCCUCUGAGUUAUUCCUGCAGUUUCCCUGCAGCUCAGGUUUUCAAGGUGUGUGGGAUCCAUCCUGCAGCCCCAGGCAAGUCUGGGUGCAGGGCUCACAGGAUCACAGCACUUGGUCCUUCAAGAGGGGACAUUUGAAGGAGGGAGGUGUUCUCUUGUGUUUAUUAAAAUACUACUCUGCAGCAUUUAUUACACAGCUGCAUGCACUAUAUCAAGCAAAAUCAUAUAAUAACUACUUUAAGUAACACAAAACAAGUAACAAUUUGGUAUUUCCUACAGGCUCUAGCUGAUUUGUACUUUAUAUUCUCUGUUCGCAAAAUAAAGCCAUGGUGUUGGCCUGAGCUGCUUCUUGU
ensembl:lncRNA